rnacentral:rRNA from 1 species
GACGAACGCUGGCGGCGUGCUUAACACAUGCAAGUCGUACGGUAAGGCCCUUUCGGGGGUACACGAGUGGCGAACGGGUGAGUAACACGUGAGUAACCUGCCCACAACUUUGGGAUAACGCUAGGAAACUGGUGCUAAUACUGGAUAUGUGCUCCUGCUGCCUGGUGGGGGUUGGAAAGCUCCGGCGGUUGUGGAUGGACUCGCGGCCUAUCAGCUUGUUGGUGGGGUAGUGGCCUACCAAGGCGGCGACGGGUAGCCGGCCUGAGAGGGUGACCGGCCACAUUGGGACUGAGAUACGGACCAGACUCCUACGGGAGGCAGCAGUGGGGAAUAUUGCACAAUGGGCGCAAGCCUGAUGCAGCAACGCCGCGUGCGGGAUGACGGCCUUCGGGUUGUAAACCGCUUUCAGCAGGGACGAAGCUUUUUGUGACGGUACCUGCAGAAGAAGCACCGGCUAACUACGUG